GAUGAAGAACGCAGCGAAAUGCGAUAAGUAAUGUGAAUUGCAGAAUUCAGUGAAUCAUCGAAUCUUUGAACGCACAUUGCGCCCGCCAGUAUUCUGGCGGGCAUGCCUGUUCGAGCGUCAUUUCAACCAUCAAGCCCCCGGCUUGUGUUGGGGACCUGCGGCUGCCGCAGGCCCUGAAAAGCAGUGGCGGGCUCGCUGUCACACCGAGCGUAGUAGCAUACAUCUCGCUCUGGGCGUGCUGCGGGUUCCGGCCGUUAAACCACCUUCAUAACCCAAGGUUGACCUCGGAUCAGGUAGGGAUACCCGCUGAACUUAAGCAUAUCAAUAAGCGGAGGA
rnacentral:misc_RNA from 1 species